rnacentral:rRNA from 1 species
AACGAACGUUAGCGGCGCGCCUAACACAUGCAAGUCGAGCGAGAAAGGGAGCAAUCCCCGGUACAGCGGCGCACGGGUGAGUAACACGUAGGUAAUCUGCCUUCGAGUGGGGGAUAACCUUCCGAAAGGAGGGCUAAUACCGCAUAAGACCACGACCUCGCGAGGGGAUGGGGUCAAAGCCGGCCACUAUACAUAAGCUGGCGCUUGAAGAUGAGCCUGCGGCCCAUCAGCGAGUUGGUAGGGUAAGGGCCUACCAAGGCGAAGACGGGUAGCUGGUCUGAGAGGAUGAUCAGCCACACUGGAACUGAGACACGGUCCAGACUCCUACGGGAGGCAGCAGUGGGGAAUCUUGCGCAAUGGGCGAAGGCCUGACGCAGCGACGCCGCGUGGGUGAUGAAGGCCUUCGGGUUGUAAAGCCCUGUGGAGGGGGAAGAAUAAGUCUUGGCUAACAUCCAAGAUGAUGACGGUACCCCUUUAGCAAGCACCGGCUAACUCUGUGCCAGCAGCCGCAGUAA